UACAGAGGGGGCAAGCGUUGUUCGGAAUUACUGGGCGUAAAGGGCGCGUAGGCGGCCCGCUAAGUCGAACGUGAAAUCCCCGAGCUCAACUCGGGAACUGCGUCCGAUACUGGCGGGCUUGAAUCCGGGAGAGGGAUGCGGAAUUCCAGGUGUAGCGGUGAAAUGCGCAGAUAUCAGGAAGAACACCCGUGGCGAAGGCGGCUCUCUGGAACGCAACUGACGCUGAGACGCGAAAGCGUGGGGAGCAAACAGG
rnacentral:rRNA from 1 species